CUAGACAAUUAAAUCUUGUAGAAGACUAUUGGAGUUCAUUCGUCCGAAGAGAGCUUUUUGGUGAGUCUACAAAGAUUGAAUAAGAAGAAAGUAUUCCUCACAGACUAAGUUCUAUUUUUCACUCCACAUGCAGAAAUUUACUUGACUAAUUCACUGAAAUAAUUAAAGCAUAUUUAUUUAAUUCAACAAGUAUCACUUAUCGCUUACGUUUAUAACCUCAAUUCAGACUUGUCCUUGACGCGUUUGUUUACAUUUGUGAUUCAAGAUUUCACCAACAGAUCGCUGCACUUGUUGCGUGUUUUUUCUAAAUAGUAAUGACGUCAUCGAUCCAUGAGUCACCAGCGGUUUUCCAGUGACGUGUGUGCGUCUGGUCUGGUCUCUCUUAUCAGUUCAGUUCGUGAGUGUUCGUGAGUUGCGAAGUGUGUGCGAAUUGACUUAUCUCAGUGAUCCGUUGCAUACGAGUUGAAACAAUAGAGAUAAGGUAAUGACAACGAUUUAAUUUUAAUUUUCGACAAUAUUUAUCGUGAAACGACACGAUUUUUUUCUGCCACCCAUUCGCUACCUCCAGAAAUUGGUGCGUUGUCGUUUUGUUUACUCGCGUCUUUUUCAAGCGUGGUGCUUGCUUGCGUUUUGGUGAUAAUUGUGAAUUGUGAUUUUCCCUCUCACUGCUGAAGUUCUCUCAAGCAGUCACAUUUGAAUCCGUUCUUACAGCCUUAGUAGACCGUUUUCUAAGAUUCUAUCAACUCUUUUCAGUGUUAUGUUGUGCCUCAGUGAAACCAAAAUUGGAUACACACACUAAGUAGCAGACCCGGAAUAGCGUUGUGUAGAUAAUCGAUGAUUGUCACUUAGAAGAUAAACCUCGAAGAUCAAAAUGACGGCAAACGGGAUGACCGAACAAAUCGUGAUGACGCCGAAAGGCAAGACGGCCAACUCGACGACGCUGAUGAUUGAGAGGAAACCGGUCGUCAUCAAGGAAGCCGCCAACGACAAGUUCACGUCGGAGGAGGCGAUCACCAGGGAAUCGUCAUCAACAAAGUCAUCACCGAAGGUAACCUAAUCAGCCAGAUUCACAAGCAUGAAAUUCGACGAGGUAUUGCGAGAUGAACGCUGUUUUUC
rnacentral:lncRNA from 1 species